rnacentral:tRNA from 1 species
UCAUGCCAUAGACCUUGGAUAGAGGCCAGGCAGGAAUU